rnacentral:rRNA from 1 species
UGAGGAAUCUUGCACAAUGGGCGAAAGCCUGAUGCAGCGACGCCGCGUGGAGGAUGAAGGUUUUAGGAUUGUAAACUCCUGUUAAGUGGGAAGAAAAGCUCAUCCCUAAUAUGGAUGAGUAAUGACGGUACCAUUAGAGAAAGCACCGGCUAACUUCGUGCCAGCAGCCGCGGUAAUACGAGGGGUGCGAGCGUUAUUCGGAAUUAUUGGGCGUACAGGGUGCGUAGACGGUAUAUUAAGUCAACUGUUAAAUUCCCCGGCCUAACCGGGGUCCAGCAGUAGAUACUGAUGUGCUAGAGGGUGGAAGAGAGAAGUGGAGUUCUCGGAGUAGCGGUAAAAUGCGUAGAUCUCGAGAGGAACACCGAUGGCGAAGGCAGCUUCUUGGUCCACUCCUGACGUUGAGGCACGAAAGCGUGGGGAGCAAACAGGAUUAGAUACCCGUGUAGUCC